ACGUACUGUUUAAUUUGGAUGGCUUGUUUUUUAGAAUGCUCAAAAUUAGCACUAUUAGCAACAAAAUAAACUGAAGGCAUGUGAAGUUUGUCUGUUGGCGCUGCGCGUUAGCACUUUAACCAACGGAAUUUAUUCGUUGGCGCCGUGCUUUAGCACUUUGAAAACUGCAUAUAUAUUUAGUGAUAUGACAUCUAAUUUGUAAUAUAUAAAGCUGAUAACUUUUUAAAAUUAUCGAAGUUGAUAGCUUCUAAUCUAUCAAACCUUUUUAACUGGUCAA
rnacentral:misc_RNA from 1 species